rnacentral:rRNA from 1 species
UACGAGGGGUGCAAACGUUAUUCGGAAUUACUGGGUGUAAAGGGUACGUAGACGGCAUAUUAAGUCAAUUGUUAAAUUCCCCAGCUUAACUGGGGGUAGGCGGUUGAAACUAAUAAGCUAGAGGAUGAGAGAGAGAAGUGGAAUUCUCGGAGUAGCGGUAAAAUGCGUAGAUCUCGAGAGGAACACCGAUGGCGAAGGCAGCUUCUUGGCUCAUUUCUGACGUUGAGGUACGAAAGCGUGGGGAGCAAACAGGAUUAGAUACCCUGGUAGUCCACGCUGUAAACGAUGAUCACUAGACGUUGGGCUUGCUUGCAGGCUCAGUGUCGCAGCUAACGCGAUAAGUGAUCCACCUGGGGACUACGGUCGCAAGAUUA